CAUCGAUGAAGAACGCAGCGAAAUGCGAUACGUAAUGUGAAUUGCAGAAUUCAGUGAAUCAUCGAAUCUUUGAACGCACAUUGCACUCUCUGGUAUUCCGGAGAGUAUGCUUGUUUGAGUAUCAGUAAACACCUCAAAUCUCGACAUUCGUGUUGAGAAUUGGACUUGAGCAAUCCCAACUCUUUGCAAAAAGAGGCGGGUUGCUUGAAAUGCAGGUGCAGCUGGACAUUCUUCUGAGCUAAAAGCAUAUUUAUUUAGUCCCGUCAAACGGAUUAUUACUUUUGCUCUAGCUAAUAUAAAGGUCGAAUGUGCUACAUGCUGACUGAUGCAGGAUUACCAAGUUUCCGUCAAAAGAAACUUGUAAACUCGAUCUCAAAUCAAGUAAGACUACCCGCUGAACUUAAGCAUAUCAAUAA
rnacentral:rRNA from 1 species